GUGAAAAAAAAUAUUUUUACGAUUGUUGUUGCUGCU
rnacentral:SRP_RNA from 1 species